AUGGCGGCUUCCUGCACGCUCACCGUCCCCGCCCCCUUCGCCGCCGCCUCCUCCUCCUCCUCCACUUCAGCCCGUCGGUACAGGCGAUUCGGGGUGGUUGCCAUGGCUAGCGUGGGGCAGAAGGUGUACGCGCCCGGCGUGGCCGUCUCCGACGGCAACGGCGGCCUGCCCAAGAUCAGCCUCAAAUCCCCGCACGGGAGUGAGGCUGAGAUUUAUCUAUUUGGAGCAUGUGUCACAUCUUGGAAGGUUCCCAGUGGAAAGGACCUGCUCUUUGUCAGACCAGAUGCCGUGUUCAAUGGCCAGAAACCCAUCAGCGGUGGAAUUCCACAUUGUUUCCCCCAGUUUGGCCCCGGUCCCAUGCAGCAGCAUGGAUUUGCCAGGAAUGUGAAUUGGUCUAUUACUGAUUCAGAAGUCACAGAAGGAGAUCCAACUGUAACUUUGGAACUAAAAGACGACUCGUACAGCCGUUCAAUGUGGGAUUUUAGUUUCCAAGCUUUAUACAAGGUUGUGCUGCACUCUACAAGCCUGUCAACGACCCUGAAAAUAAUAAAUACAGACGAUAAACCUUUCUCGUUCAACUCAGCCCUCCACACUUAUUUCAGUGCUUCCAUCGCUGGUGUUUCAGUGAAAGGUCUCAAAGGUAGCAAGACUCUCAAUAAGGAUCCUGAUCCUAAAAAUCCUCUGGAGGGCAAAGAAGAAAGGGACGAGGUGACCUUUCCAGGAUUUGUGGACUGUGUUUACCUUGGCGCACCGACUGAGCUUACACUGGACAAUGGAUUGGGUGACAAAAUUGUAAUCUCAAACACAAACUGGUCAGAUGCAGUGUUGUGGAAUCCUCAUUUGCAGAUGGAGGCAUGCUACAAAGACUUUGUUUGUGUUGAAAAUGCAAAGAUUGAAACAGUACAACUGGGUCCAAAAGAAUCUUGGGUGGCAGAGCAGAAAAUUGAACUUGUCUGA
rnacentral:rRNA from 1 species